UUGAACGCUGGCGGCAGGCUUAACACAUGCAAGUCGAACGGUAACAGGAAUCAGCUUGCUGAUUCGCUGACGAGUGGCGGACGGGUGAGUAAUGUCUGGGAAACUGCCUGAUGGAGGGGGAUAACUACUGGAAACGGUAGCUAAUACCGCAUAACGUCGCAAGACCAAAGAGGGGGACCUUCGGGCCUCUUGCCAUCGGAUGUGCCCAGAUGGGAUUAGCUAGUAGGUGGGGUAACGGCUCACCUAGGCGACGAUCCCUAGCUGGUCUGAGAGGAUGACCAGCCACACUGGAACUGAGACACGGUCCAGACUCCUACGGGAGGCAGCAGUGGGGAAUAUUGCACAAUGGGCGCAAGCCUGAUGCAGCCAUGCCGCGUGUAUGAAGAAGGCCUUCGGGUUGUAAAGUACUUUCAGCGGGGAGGAAGGGAGUAAAGUUAAUACCUUUGCUCAUUGACGUUACCCGCAGAAGAAGCACCGGCUAACUCCGUGCCAGCAGCCGCGGUAAUACGGAGGGUGCAAGCGUUAAUCGGAAUUACUGGGCGUAAAGCGCACGCAGGCGGUUUGUUAAGUCAGAUGUGAAAUCCCCGGGCUCAACCUGGGAACUGCAUCUGAUACUGGCAAGCUUGAGUCUCGUAGAGGGGGGUAGAAUUCCAGGUGUAGCGGUGAAAUGCGUAGAGAUCUGGAGGAAUACCGGUGGCGAAGGCGGCCCCCUGGACGAAGACUGACGCUCAGGUGCGAAAGCGUGGGGAGCAAACAGGAUUAGAUACCCUGGUAGUCCACGCCGUAAACGAUGUCGACUUGGAGGUUGUGCCCUUGAGGCGUGGCUUCCGGAGCUAACGCGUUAAGUCGACCGCCUGGGGAGUACGGCCGCAAGGUUAAAACUCAAAUGAAUUGACGGGGGCCCGCACAAGCGGUGGAGCAUGUGGUUUAAUUCGAUGCAACGCGAAGAACCUUACCUGGUCUUGACAUCCACAGAACUUUCCAGAGAUGGAUUGGUGCCUUCGGGAACUGUGAGACAGGUGCUGCAUGGCUGUCGUCAGCUCGUGUUGUGAAAUGUUGGGUUAAGUCCCGCAACGAGCGCAACCCUUAUCCUUUGUUGCCAGCGGUCCGGCCGGGAACUCAAAGGAGACUGCCAGUGAUAAACUGGAGGAAGGUGGGGGUGACGUCAAGUCAUCAUGGCCCUUACGACCAGGGCUACACACGUGCUACAAUGGCGCAUACAAAGAGAAGCGACCUCGCGAGAGCAAGCGGACCUCAUAAAGUGCGUCGUAGUCCGGAUUGGAGUCUGCAACUCGACUCCAUGAAGUCGGAAUCGCUAGUAAUCGUGGAUCAGAAUGCCACGGUGAAUACGUUCCCGGGCCUUGUACACACCGCCCGUCACACCAUGGGAGUGGGUUGCAAAAGAAGUAGGUAGCUUAACCUUCGGGAGGGCGCUUACCACUUUGUGAUUCAUGACUGGGGUG
rnacentral:rRNA from 1 species